rnacentral:rRNA from 1 species
UACGGAGGGUGCGAGCGUUAAUCGGAAUACUGGGCGUAAAGCGUACGCAGGCGGUUAGUUAAGUCAGAUGUGAAAGCCCCGGGCUCAACCUGGGAACUGCAUUUGAAACUGGCUAACUAGAGUGCGGCAGAGGGUGGUAGAAUUUCAGGUGUAGCGGUGAAAUGCGUAGAGAUCUGAAGGAAUACCGAUGGCGAAGGCAGCCACCUGGGCCGACACUGACGCUCAUGUACGAAAAGCGAUGGGGUAGCAAACGAGGAAUUAGAU